rnacentral:lncRNA from 1 species
CAAUAAUCAGUGUUGCAAUGUUGAAGAUCUUUCUUAAAACUUCACUCAAGGUUUUGGUCUACUUGUCGUCUGUGUACUGUUUUGUACCAUCAGUAAUUUAUUGCAGAUUUCCAGUAAUGCUGAAUAAUAACACAGUAGUUGUGGAAACACACUGUUCAGUAGCAUAACAGUGUCACUAGAUAAAUGCAUUAUCACAAGUAAAAUUGCUGUGCAUAACAAAUCAAUUCAGACUGAUUCGUAGAUAACUAUUAAAAUGCUAACACUUCAGAUACAAGCAUAGCGUUGAAACAUUGUUUAUGGCUGCCUUCAGUUACUUCAGCUAUCAUAUAUGUGCUAAAGGAAAUAAUGCAUGUUUAAGCUGUUGUGGAUAUCUUCUGCAGAGCAAACCAUCUUUACUGAAUCUGGUGAAAUGCUAGAAAUGAAAUGUAUUAAGUAUGGAAUGUGUAUGCUGUGUGCUUUUAUAAUUCUUCCAUCCCUAUUUUAUAUUGGGUGCAGUACCAUCUUUAUUACCAAUUAGAUUUUUCACUCAAGAGUCUGCUGUUUGAAUUUUAACCAAUUCAAUACUGUAAGACCUUUUCUGGAUGAAACCUCUUUCCAAGUCAGUAGCUGAGAGUAAAUUACUUCAUAAAAGUAGGGAUAGCACCUUUAUGGGUAACUGAAUCCUUUGUAUAGUUUCGAAUUAUUUGCCCACUGUCAUGAUUAAACCUACAUUUAUUUCAUCAAACUUGUGAAAGACAAAUUUAUUGUUAUUGUUGUUUCACUAAAGUGUUUUUUUUUUCCUUCUUUAUAAAUAGUUUGGUACAAAUUGCUGAUGGUAAAAUCACUGUAUAUGCUUUUCAUGACAUGACUUAAUGCUUUUUAAGGCACUACCAAAUUAUCCUCAUCAUACAAUAUUAUACACAUAUUACAGAAGUGGCUAAUUUAAAACAAAAUUUAAACUGGGUGCAGAACCCAAUCUGAGCUAUUAUAAACAUCUGAAAGUUGUUUUGAAUUCAUGCUCAUUUCCUAGGUUAUUCAUGCUUUAUGUCUGUGUGCAAACUCUGUGAGAACACUGAAAAUGUCUUUUGUGCAAAUAUAUUUUUGGAUAUUGAUAUACAUGCAUGCAGUUGUUUAUAGCUAUGCUCAAAGGCAAUGAGAAGCAGCAUUCAUCUAUAUAUUACAAAGACGAUGUGCACAAUAACUGUGCUUUCAACUUCCAUCAUAUGCUAUAUAUUGAAAAGAUAAUGAUUUUUGUUCUCCAGCCUUCAGGUUUCCUUAUGAAAUUAAUCUGGUUUAUCAGCAUGUUCAUUGAUCCCUCUGCUAUAUAAUUGUUGAGAAUUUUGACUGGCUUCAGCCUAAUUUAGCAGACAGAUAGUGGUAAUAUAUUCUAAGCUUUCUGAAACUAGCUAGAGGAUAAUGCACUGCAGCAAACUCUGCAUUAGUCUUCAGAAAAACUCCAUAAGGUGUUGACCUAAUGUUGCAAGAACCAGCUGAUAACAAGCUUCCUCAGAAUCUCUUUUUCUGUCUUCCUGAGUUAGUAUCUACCAUGUCAGACUAUGUUUGCCAGGAAUGGAGGUAGAAUCAUUAACAUUUAUUAUUAGCGGAUGCUGCAUGGAAAUAUUGUACUCCUAAGUGUACUAUCAAUAGUGAACUGAUCAGACUUACUUUUUCUAGGAAGAAAAAAAACCCAAACCCUAAAUUUCUAAGUCCCUCCCUCCACUGUGGUAAGCGGGUGAUGGUAUGUAUGGCUUAUUCAGCAUAAAAAGCAGACCGAUGAUCUAAAGAGGCUGUGAUGUGGGGAGUUGUUUUCAUUUUAGUCUUGACACAAAAUACGUGGGAGAACGAAAUACCCGGCUAAGAAAAAAUAUACAAAAUGAGAAUAAAAGCAAGGAAUUUCCAUCUGACUUGCUUGCGUUUACUGAAAUGCAAAAGUAUCUAGCAAUCACCAGACAUCACUAACUCAUAAAUACUGUAUUUUGUAUAAAUUUUUAGACUUUCAUUUUUCCCUGUUUUUUUUCUUCAUAUUUUUAACAGAACGCUGUUCUUUCUUACUUCGCUUCUUUUCAUCCUUUGUUUAAAAUGCAUCUGUUUGUGAUAUGGCUGUCUUAUAGAAAGAUGCAGUCAUUAGGAAACAGUUUAAUGUUACAAUGCAGUGUUCUAUCUCUGUAUGCAAGUGAGCUGAACUUCAUUUUUGUGUGAUGCUUGUGUUUUCUUUUGUCAAAAUAUUGAACAUAAUAUCAUGUCUGAUUUUAAUAAAGAUCGGGUAAGCCUAACUGGAGAAGAAGCACUGAGCCAGAUGAGGUAGCUUCAUUUAAUGACCAGACCGUGACCCCAUUUCACUGACAUAAGUGUAGAUCAGAGUGGAAGAUGCCUGUCCAGUGUGAAGUGUGUUUCUGGGCUUGACAGCACUUCACAUCAGAAUGACAGCUUAAGAAUACGACAGUCAAAAUUGCUUAAUUAUGUCCCAGCUUUGUAAUUAUUCAUCCUGCUCUUAUGAGUACAGUUGUCAUUUCUUUGACAUAAUUAUUUAAAACUGUACUCUCCCUUAGUUCAUGGGUUGUAUAUGAAUUGUGCUUCCAAAUGUUUAAUCUUAAAAAUUUAGAGAUGUGAAACAGAAUAUAAUUUGAAAAUCCAUUUUAAGAUGCCAUACUUUUAUAUUGUAUAUGAUAUAUACAAAUAAAAUGAUGAAGUAUCAAAGGGAUCAUAAUUCCAUUUUUUAAAGGUCUGUAUCCGUGAUAAUUUAAUCUAGCUGAUAAAAUGUGGGUAUAUUCAUUAUAUAUAAAAUGUGUUUCUGUGAUUACAUACUGUAUUAGUUCUCUUUAAAUGUAAUUGCUUAGUACUGAGUAAGAGUAGUUGCUUUUAAAAAAUGCGUAUGCUUCCCUGUAUUUUGCAACCCCUCUGCCCAGCAGCUAUUUUUUGUUUUACUGUAUUUUCAAGGUUAAAAUUUUUAUCAGUAAUAUUUAUAGUGGCAAAAGCAAGCAGUGUAUAUUUGGUCAGAUAUAGCAGUCUUAAAGUUCAUAGGACCAAAUCAUUAGAAGGAAUAUGUGGGUAUACUUCCAAGUUGUUUUGCUUUAUAGCAUCUUUACCAGGAACAUCUUGUCCGGUGAAUAUAAAGGACAUUCUUUACAACAAAAGAUGGCAGUAUAAGUGUUUUGAUUUUUUUUUCUCUUGGAUGUAUUAUUUUCUUCACAAAUUAUAAUCAUAAAACCUGACGUAGCAUUCUUUUUCCAAGGAAUGAAAUGAAGACCCUUAAGUAGAAGUAAAGUCUAAUAUCUGUUUUUCAUGUCAUUAAGAAUAUGUGAUUCUUGCUCAUGCUGUGAUUCGGAGGAUAGAGAAGGUUUGUUUAAUUGUGAUAGUAAGACUAAAUAUUCAAUGGUGCAGCUAAAGAACUAAGGAAAUCUAAAAUCUAUAGUUACGGUUUUGGGUCAUUGUCAGUUUUCUUUUGUUUAAGAUCAUAGGAAGAUCUAUCAUAUAAAAGUGACUGAUGCUUUAAAAAAGAAUUCCAUUACAAUCAGAUAAUUGUAGAGGGGCUCUAGGGAUUUUUGUUCAUAACUAUUUUAAAAAGUCAUGAUUUUCUUAAAUAUAUAUCCUGUCUCUUCUUAAAUUGUACACCAGGCCUUUUUACUAACAUGUCUCAUGGACUGCUUUUUACCCCUCUCCAAAUUAAGAAAAUGAUGGGCUAGGUUUAAAGAGUAAAUAAAAGGUGGCAGAUAAGACUUUGUCACCUCACAGUUCUUACCCUCUUACCAUCACUGUGUAGAAAUCAGGGCUUAUGUGCUUAAAGCAUUUGAAAUUGAUGUAGAACCCGGGACUUAUAAAGUGUAAAGAUCCAUUUUGUCAAUGAAUUGCUAGAUAGUAAGGUACCUCUUUGAGAUAGCUUCUACAAAAUAGACCUCCUUAUGGUCCAUUAUGUCAAAGUUUCAUGUAGUAAAAAAGAACAAAGCCAUGAAUUUAAGAUUCCAAAGUAGACUAUGAUGCAGUAAUAUUGACUUCAAGACACUGUAACAGUGAUGCUAUUCUUUGACUCACUGAGCUGUCCAUUUUGCUCUUUGAAAGUGAAAGUAUUUUAAGGAACAGUCCAUAAUGGUUGUCUGUUUGCCAAAUGUAUGUGAACUCAGCACUUAGCACUGUGAGUCCAGAAACAGAACUUGAACAGUCAUAUUCAAAAAUGCAAGAAUACUCUGUUCAGAAGACUUUUUAAAGUCAGUAAAACUAUCCUCAAUUUUUACAAUAACAAAAAUGAGUUCUCAAAAUAUGGAUAUGAUAUCUGAGAGAAAAAAAUCUGUUAUCAGAUCUCAAGAUGCUUAUAGAUUAUAUUAUGAUAUGAGAUUUUCAGAAAUGGGAAAUCUAAUUAUGGCUGUGCACAGCCUGAAUAAGGGGCUUAUGGGUAUAGCUGAAAAGUUAUAUAUUAGACAAAUAAACAGAAAGCUGGUAUUUCUUCAAAUGACUGAUGAAGGUCUAUAGAAGAUACCUAUGAGGCUGUGGAGAACUGUAUGUGGACUUAUGAACUUUCACUUACAGUAUAGGAUGUUACUGGGCAAUAAGUGGGGUAACAGUGAAUUGAGUCUUGCCUGAUAUGAAGUCUAUGGAUAAAACAAUUCAGUAAUGAGUGACAUGUAGUAGCUCCUUUUAUGUUUCCUGCUGUUACACAUCAGAUUAUACGUGCAUAGGAAGGAGAGCUGUAGGAGAAAUAGAUCAUUCCGUCUUUUUGUACGAUCGACAGCAGAUCAGAGUAGUGCUUGCUAGGUAACAUGUCCUAGUGAAGAAGCUUAAUGAUAAAUUUAGUCUGUCUUUGAAUUUGUGCAUCAUGUGAGAGAACUCUUGCCCCUGGAAUUAGUAAUGGGACCUACAACUGUCUUCUAAGGCCAGCGGAUAAAAAGUUGCCUUCCAAGUACUUGUAAGGGCAACAAUGUUAAAGUGCUCAGGAAGCCGGCUUGGGAAAAGGCAGUGAAAAAAGAGAAAAGUAGAGUUCAAUAUCCGAAGGAGAAUAGAAGAAAAUUAUGAUAGUAAAGUUGAAGAUGAAAAUUUUAGUUAGGAAUAGUUUGGAGAGUAAGCAACAUGCAUGCAGUAUCGAAGUCGGCAAACUAAGAAAUUUAAAGGGAUUUUUUUUGUGUGUGUGUGUGUGUGUGUGUGUGUGUGUGUCUUGGCAUAUGACAGAUCACAAGAUUAGAGAGAGAGGGAGCUUUAGUCUGUGAAUUUUGAGAAGAGCAAUGAGUUGAAAAUGUGAGGACUAAGCUGAAAGCAUACAGCUAUUGAAAUAGUAAAAGAAUGUAUUCUCUUUGACUGACCAGCUGUAAUUCUGUCUGUCAUGAAUGAAGAAUAGAUACAUGGAUCAUAGGUGUGUUAGGUAAAAGGAGGAAAGUCUUUUUCUCAUUGUUUGUUCUCAUGGUAAUAUUUCUUGAAAAACCAAUAUAUAUUUAGUUCUUCGGGAGGGUAGUAUGCAGACUACAUUUCAGAACCUCAUUGUAUUGAAGAUACAGUGUGCAAAGGGUGCUAUCUCUUUCCUAAAAUAAUUCCUUCAAAAAAUUAUAUGAUUUUCAUGAAGCCAGUGUCCUUUUAGUCAUUAAUGAUCCUGAUGCACUUUUCACAUAGAAGGGGUGUUAGUUUUGGCCUGGUUCCAAUUCAGGUAAUUACAUUCUGCCUCCAUGGAUUUCUCUGCAGUGUCAAUUUACUAAGGCAUUCUUCUCCAUCUUCCUCCCUAAAAAAUUAUGUACAGUCGCAGAGUGUUAGUUAACCAGCUGCUAUUUUGCACCUGAAAAGUGUCUAUCUUUCAGUUGUAGUGUGCAAGCAAUGCACCUGAGCGACAGGAAAAUGUGGAGCCUGGCAAUCAUUUAAGGGCCUCCAGUGAUGCUGCCUCCAUCUCUCCUGAGAUGAGCUAUACACCUCUACCUUCGGGAUCCAGAGACCUCACCAAUCACAGAGGUAAAAGCUAAACUUUUAUUGGCAUGGACUCCUGCAAGGUAGUAAACUUCACAGUGAGGCCUGCUAUGUAGUAGUUACCACUGUAUUGGCACUUUACUUGAAAGGCACAAGUACUCUCUGUACUACAUGAGAAAACCAUACCUGUCAAGAUUACAGAUUUUAGCUCAUAUUUAAAGAGGGGUUAAAGGUAGUCUACUGGGAAAACAAAUCUAUAGAUAAUAACAUUUUGGUUUUUUGUUUUGUUUUUAUGUGUGAGAGAAAAAACAUUAAAAGGUUAAAGUACUUAAAUAUUGCUAAGUAGAUGAUUGCAUGCAGGGUUGGUAAUUUUGAGAGAAUCUGUAAAGUUUCUAUUAUUUGUAAAGAGAAAGCUUUUUGGCAUUUUAACAAUUUAGGGCUAUAAUUUUGAAAUGUUAACAUGUUUUCAUUGCAAUAAAAUGGGACUCAACCUUCUCUGUUUUUAAGCAAUAAAGACCAGAUCAGUGUUCAAUUUCCUUUUUCACCGGUACUUAGAACUUAAAAAAAAAAAAAAAAAAAACCUUGGGCAAACUCUUGAAUUCCUUCUUCAUACCUAUGGAGCAAAAAGUUCAGGGAGCAGUCAGGAAGAGCACAUUCCAAGCUCUUCUUUUUCAGAAGAAAUGUAUAUAGCUUGCAACAUUUUUCAGCUUGAAACCAGAGUAACAACACUCAGUGUUUUCCACAUUGCACAUUUAAUUCCAUGGAGACUUUAGUAUUUCAAGUGUUUUCCAAAUUUAGACUGCAUAAAUGAUUUGUGUAGAGGUUAUUUUUAUACCAGAAUAUCAGAAUCGAAGUCGAUGUCGUAUUUAUGAAUUAAUGGUAAC